rnacentral:rRNA from 1 species
GAUGAACGCUGGCGGCGUGCCUAAUACAUGCAAGUCGAGCGAACGGACGAGGAGCUUGCUUCUCUGAUGUUAGCGGCGGACGGGUGAGUAACACGUGGAUAACCUACCUAUAAGACUGGGAUAACUUCGGGAAACCGGAGCUAAUACCGGAUAAUAUUUUGAACCGCAUGGUUCAAAAGUGAAAGACGGUCUUGCUGUCACUUAUAGAUGGAUCCGCGCUGCAUUAGCUAGUUGGUAAGGUAACGGCUUACCAAGGCAACGAUGCGUAGCCGACCUGAGAGGGUGAUCGGCCACACUGGAACUGAGACACGGUCCAGACUCCUACGGGAGGCAGCAGUAGGGAAUCUUCCGCAAUGGGCGAAAGCCUGACGGAGCAACGCCGCGUGAGUGAUGAAGGUCUUCGGAUCGUAAAACUCUGUUAUUAGGGAAGAACAUAUGUGUAAGUAACUAUGCACAUCUUGACGGUACCUAAUCAGAAAGCCACGGCUAACUACGUG